AUUGAACGCUGGCGGCAGGCCUAACACAUGCAAGUCGAGCGGAGCGGCGGACGGGUGAGUAAUGCCUAGGAAUCUGCCUGGUACUGGGGGAUAACGUCCGGAAACGGGCGCUAAUACCGCAUACUAACAGUGGAGCCUAGGUCGGAUUAGCUAGAUGGUGUGGUGAAGGCCUACCAAGGCGACGAUCCGUAACUGGUCUGAGAGGAUGAGCAGUCACACUGGAACUGAGACACGGUCCCGACUCCUACGGGAGGCAGCAGUGGAGAAUAUUGGACAAUGGGCGCAAGCCUGAUCCAGCCAUGCCGCGUGUGUGAAGAAGGUCUUCGGAUUGUAAAGCACUUUAAGUUGGGAGGCGUUACCAACAGAAUAAGCACCGGCUAACUUCGUGCCAGCAGCCGCGGUAAUAC
rnacentral:rRNA from 1 species